rnacentral:rRNA from 1 species
ACCUAAUAGAUACCCUGGUAGUCCACGCCCUAAACGAUGCGAACUGGAUGUUGGGUACAUUACGGUACUCAGUGUCGAAAGCUAAACGCGUUAAGUUCGCCGCCUGGGGAGUACGGUCGCAAGACUGAAACUCAAAGGAAUUGACGGGGGCCCGCACAAGCGGUGGAGUAUGUGGUUUAAUUCGAUGCAACGCGAAGAACCUUACCUGGCCUUGACAUCUGUCGAAUCCUGCAGAGAUGCGGGAGUGCCGCAAGGAACGACAAGACAGGUGCUGCAUGGCUGUCGUCAGCUCGUGUCGUAAGAUGUUGGGUUAAGUCCCGCAACGAGCGCAACCCUUGUCCCUAGUUGCCAGCACAUCAUGGUGGGAACUCUAGGGAGACUGCCGGUGAUAAACCGGAGGAAGGUGGGGAUGACGUCAAGUCCUCAU